rnacentral:rRNA from 1 species
CCUACGGGAGGCAGCAGUGGGGAAUUUUGGACAAUGGGCGCAAGCCUGAUCCAGCAAUGCCGCGUGAGUGAAGAAGGCCUUCGGGUUGUAAAGCUCUUUUGUCAGGGAAGAAACGGUGGGGGCUAAUAUCUCCUACUAAUGACGGUACCUGAAGAAUAAGCACCGGCUAACUACGUGCCAGCAGCCGCGGUAAUACGUAGGGUGCAAGCGUUAAUCGGAAUUACUGGGCGUAAAGCGUGCGCAGGCGGUUUUGUAAGUCUGUCGUGAAAGCCCCGGGCUCAACCUGGGAAUUGCGAUGGAGACUGCAAGGCUUGAAUCUGGCAGAGGGGGGUAGAAUUCCACGUGUAGCAGUGAAAUGCGUAGAGAUGUGGAGGAACACCGAUGGCGAAGGCAGCCCCCUGGGUCAAGAUUGACGCUCAUGCACGAAAGCGUGGGGAGCAAACAGGAUUAGAUACCCUGGUAGUCCACGCCCUAAACGAUGUCUACUAGUUGUACGGGUUUUAAUUAACGUUGGUAACGCAGCUAACGCGUAGAAGUAGACCGCCGUGGGGAGUACGGUCGCAAGAUUAAACUCAAAUGAAUUGACCGGNGUGAGACGUGCGACGGACGACGACGAGGGAGGAGG